UUUUAAGGUUAACACAUAGCGAAGUUUUCUAACGAAUCACAAUCGAUCGUCUGGUAGACGUUACAAAAGGAGGGUGAUAGAGAGUAUUGGACAGAGUAUUUCAGUCCAAAAACGUGGAGGAGAACUCUAAGUGAUCGAUAGAGAGGAAAGCAAUCUUCAGCUGCAUGUUCAUUUCCUUCAUACGUCCACUUAAGUAUGGCGGCCGUUUCUUUGUCGAAUUGCUUGACACUCAAUUUGUACGAAUGCUGCUCCCAGUUCUAGGGAGUCAAUGAAAAUUGAUGGACAGCAGGUUGACUGUUACAUUGGGAGCAUAAUAGAAGCAGCCACAUCAAGCUUGCGGGACAUUGUUGUAAGGGUAUCAAGCAGCACUGAACAGUCAGAGAAAGAUUUUGGUAAUAGUAGUGCAUCAUCACUAAAUGUCUGUGGAAUCUUGACAUCAUCCUAUAAUGAAGUGACUCCAAGUGAGAGUCUUACUGCAGUCUGUGAGCCUGAGGGAGGAACUCCAGUUCCAGCUCAGAAAUAUGAGGCACUUGAUGCCCCCAGUCAAGAAGUCUUUGAGCCUGGAGGAAGAACUCCAGUUCCAGCUCAGAGUUAUGAGGCAUCACCAGCACUUGAUGCUCCCAGUCAAGAAGGUAAUUACUGCAGCUGUUUAAUGAGUAUGCUCUAUUGCAAGUAGUUCAGCCAGGGCUGCCAUUAGCCUUUUGUAUCCCAGGUGGAAUAUUCUCCCAGUCUUUGAGCCUGAAGGAGGAACUCCAGUUCCAGCUCAGAAAUAUGAGGCAUCACCAGCACUUGAUGCCCCCAGUCAAGAAGUGCCUGUUCAGGAGAGCUCUGACCCCCCUAUUGAUCAACCUCCCCAGUUCCCAUCAUCACCUGAGCCCAGUGGAAAGAAGAUCAAAUCCUGCUGGUUCAAAUGGCGAUGAAAGUCUUCAGUAGUUACACCAACAACAGAGGACACUGAGAAAGACUCACAGGUUGGAGUACCUUGCAUUGCUUUUGAACAAUCCCAUCUUACCUUGGACAAAAAUGAGGUCAGUUCUUCCUUCGCAAAAAAUGGUAAGUGAUUGAAAUCACAAGGGCUUGAGUUUUUAAUUCAUGUAGUUUAAGAAAAUAAUUCAAUAAUGGUAUGAUCAGGGUUUUUCUGACAGUAAGCUCUUGUAUCUGAUGAGUAUUUUCCUAUGAAUGAUAAAUAAAUACCUAAAGGUGAAAGGUUUUUUUUUAUAUUAACCAUUUUGUAUUGCAUGAGAUUUCAACUGCAAAGUCCAUGAAAAGUAGUGUGAUUGUCUGGGUUGAGAUAAUUAAUGUAUAAUUUGU